rnacentral:rRNA from 1 species
ACGCUCGACACCUACGGGAGGCAGCAGUGGGGAAUAUUGCACAAUGGGGGAAACCCUGAUGCAGCGACGCCGCGUGAGCGAAGAAGUAUUUCGGUAUGUAAAGCUCUAUCAGCAGGGAAGAAACUGACGGUACCUGACUAAGAAGCACCGGCUAAAUACGUGCCAGCAGCCGNGGUAAUCUGAGCGGGCUGGCAAGGC